rnacentral:misc_RNA from 1 species
GAAAUGCGAUAAGUAAUGUGAAUUGCAGAAUUCAGUGAAUCAUCGAAUCUUUGAACGCACCUUGCGCUCCUUGGUAUUCCUUGGAGCACGCCUGUUUGAGUAUCAUGAAAUCUUCAAAGUAAAUCUUUUGUUAACUCAAUUGGUUUCUACUUUGGUAUUGGAGGUCUUUGCAGCUUCACACCUGCUCCUCUUUGUUCAUUAGCUGGAUCUCAGUGUUAUGCUUGGUUCCACUCGGCGUGAUAAGUUAUCUAUCGCUGAGGACACUGUAAAAGGUGGCCAAGGUAAAUGCAGAUGAACCGCUUCUAAUAGUCCAUUGACUUGGGCAAUACUUUUAUGAUCUGAUCUCAAAUCAGGUAGGACUACCCGCUGAACUUAAGC